rnacentral:lncRNA from 1 species
CGGUACAGAGUCAAUGUGGAGGCUAUAUACAGGGGUACCGGUACAGAGUCAAUGUGGAGGCUAUAUACAGGGGGUACCGGUACAGAGUCAAUGUGGAGGCUAUAUACAGGGGGUACCGGUACAGAGUCAAUGUGGAGGCUAUAUACAGGGGGUACCGGUACAGAGUCAACGUGGAGGCUAUAUACAGGGGGUACCGGUACAGAGUCAAUGUGGAGGCUAUAUACAGGGGGUACCGGUACAGAGUCAAUGUGGAGGCUAUAUACAGGGGAUACCGGUACAGAGUCAAUGUGGAGGCUAUAUACAGGGGGUACCGGUACAGAGUCAAUGUGGAGGCUAUAUACAGGGGGUAUCGGUACAGAGUCAAUGUGGAGGCUAUAUACAGGGGGUACCGGUACAGAGUC